rnacentral:lncRNA from 1 species
CGGGUUUGGGGGAUAACGGUCACAUUUGGCUUUUUCCAGAAUGUUCUAUUAAAUUUCGGGUUUUUCUUUACCUAGAGGAAUCAUAGUGUAUCUGUCUUCAAAAAGAAAUACAAGAGGCAGCAGUCGCCACGCUACUUUCCAGGAGCAGUGAUACCUAGCCAGUGGAAAAUCAGAUCUUCAAGGCCUAACACGUCUUGUAACUGUCGGCCCUGUCUUUUUAAAAAAACAGAAACACCAUCUGCUAUUCCUAUAUGGUGUGGUUGCUGUGUUAGGUUUAUUUUAGUUGCUAAGAUCUCUCUGUGGCUGUGGAAGUAACUUCUUUGACUUGUCUAUGUAGCGUGCAGUACCAUUACCCAUCACCUUUGCUGGGAUUGCAGUGUUUUGUUUUUCUUCACCUGCUUCGGUGUUUUAUUGUCCCUUUUUGAUCUCAGGAGUGGAAAGGUUAUCUAGGUUUCAAUGCCUGAAAAGCCUCGAGAAAGCAGUACUUCUGGUUAGACUAGGAUCAGCUUCCCAGUGGCAAUGAGGAGGAUAUUCUCUGGCUACAAACCAAAAAUAUCCAUGUGGGAAACUGAUAAACGUCCCUCUCCUGGGAGGAGUGGAGAAGAGGGACCAUGGGAUAGCAAGUUGAGUAUUUCCAGGAAACCUUUUUUUUUUCUUUUUAAGACAAUCUGUGUGUUUGAUAAUACAGCAGUGUCUGCAUGAAGAAGAUGCUGAAAAGUGUAUGACGUGCAAGCAGUUGGGUUCACAAGUUUGAUACGUGCACAUAUACUUAGCCACACACGAGCACAACCUAUUUGAAGUAUUUACAAAAUAAGCAAGAACUUACUCGUAUUACACAUGAGUGGUUAAGCAGCUACCUGGGGGUUCAUUGCUAGAACGUGGUGGGCCUUUCUAGC